rnacentral:rRNA from 1 species
UACAGAGGUCCCGAGCGUUGUUCGGAUUCACUGGGCGUAAAGGGUGCGUAGGUGGCUUGAAAAGUUUGAUGUGAAAGCUCAGGGCUUAACCCUGAAAUGGCAUUGAAAACUGUCGGGCUGGAGGUUUGGAGGGGGGACUGGAAUUCUUGGUGUAGCAGUGAAAUGCGUAGAUAUCAAGAGGAACACCAGUGGCGAAGGCGAGUCCCUGGACAACACCUGACACUGAGGCACGAAAGCUAGGGGAGCAAACGGG